CCUACGGGGGGCUGCAGUAGGGAAUAUUGGGCAAUGGACGCAAGUCUGACCCAGCCACGCCGCGUGAAGGAUGACUGCCCUAUGGGUUGUAAACUUCUUUUGUAUGGGAAGAAACCUCCGAACGUGUUCGGAGCUGACGGUACCAUAAGAAUAAGCAUCGGCUAACUCCGUGCCAGCAGCCGCGGUAAUACGGAGGAUGCAGGCGUUGUUGGGAUUAAAGGGUGCGUAGGGGGGCGAAUGAGUCGGUUGAGAAAGCUCGCAGCUUAACUGUGAAAAUGCCAUUGAAACUGAUUUUCUUGAGUUCGAUUGAGGUAGAUGGAAUGUAUCAUGUAGCGGUGAAAUGCUUAGAUAUGAUACAGAACACCAAUUGCGAAGGCAGUCUACUAAGUCGAUACUGACGCUGAGGCACGAAAGCAUGGGGAGCAAACAGGAUUAGAUACCCUGGUAGUC
rnacentral:rRNA from 1 species